GGCCUCGUAGCUGAAGUGGCUAGAGCGUUAGCUAUACUAAAGCUUCCAUUUGCUGUCGCGAGUUCGAAUCCCACCGAGGCCA
rnacentral:tRNA from 1 species